rnacentral:rRNA from 1 species
CCUGCGGAAGGAUCAUUACAGUAGUCGCCCGGGUUGCCGCAAGGCCUCCCGGGUAACCUACCACCCUUUGUUUAUUACACUUUGUUGCUUUGGCAAGCCUGCCCUCGGGCUGCUGGCUCCGGCCGGCGAGCGCUUGCCAGAGGACCUAAACUCUGUUUGUCUAUACUGUCUGAGUACUAUAUAAUAGUUAAAACUUUCAACAACGGAUCUCUUGGUUCUGGCAUCGAUGAAGAACGCAGCGAAAUGCGAUAAGUAAUGUGAAUUGCAGAAUUCAGUGAAUCAUCGAAUCUUUGAACGCACAUUGCGCCCCCUGGUAUUCCGGGGGGCAUGCCUGUCCGAGCGUCAUUACAACCCUCAAGCUCAGCUUGGUGUUGGGCCCCGCCGCCCCGGCGGGCCCUAAAGUCAGUGGCGGUGCCGUCCGGCUCCGAGCGUAGUAAUUCUUCUCGCUCUGGAGGUCCGGUCGUGUGCUCGCCAGCAACCCCCAAUUUUUUUCAGGUUGACCUCGGAUCAGGUAGGGAUACCCGCUGAACUUAAGCAUAUCAAUAAG